GUUAACUCUGUGCCAGGCCUGUAGAAUGGGGCCCUGGUCUUUCCUGUCAGAACAUACAUUACUUACCAUUUUCCCAGGGCCUCCUCUGGCUCCUGGUCUUCAAGUCCCACAACCGUACUAGACCAUAGGAUGGGAUCCUGGUCUUUCCUUACUCUGUGCCAGGCCUGUAGACUGGGGCCUGGUCUUUCUUACUCUGUGCCAGGCCUGUAGCAUGGGGCCUGGUCUUCCUGUCAUGGACUAAAUGGAUCAUCCGACAUUCACCCACAUCAACAACAAU
rnacentral:lncRNA from 1 species